AUUGAACGCUGGCGGCAGGCCUAACACAUGCAAGUCGAGCGGAUGAGUGGAGCUUGCUCCAUGAUUCAGCGGCGGACGGGUGAGUAAUGCCUAGGAAUCUGCCUGGUAGUGGGGGACAACGUUUCGAAAGGAACGCUAAUACCGCAUACGUCCUACGGGAGAAAGUGGGGAUCUUCGGACCUCACGCUAUCAGAUGAGCCUAGGUCGGAUUAGCUAGUUGGUGAGGUAAAGGCUCACCAAGGCGACGAUCCGUAACUGGUCUGAGAGGAUGAUCAGUCACACUGGAACUGAGACACGGUCCAGACUCCUACGGGAGGCAGCAGUGGGGAAUAUUGGACAAUGGGCGAAAGCCUGAUCCAGCCAUGCCGCGUGUGUGAAGAAGGUCUUCGGAUUGUAAAGCACUUUAAGUUAGGAGGAAGGGCAGUAAGUUAAUACCUUGCUGUUUUGACGUUACCAACAGAAUAAGCACCGGCUAACUUCGUGCCAGCAGCCGCCGUAAAAC
rnacentral:rRNA from 1 species